rnacentral:rRNA from 1 species
UACGUAGGCAGCGAGCGUUGUUCGGAGUUACUGGGCGUAAAGCGUGCGCAGGCGGUGAUGUAAGACAGGUGUGAAAUCCCCGGGCUUAACCUGGGAACUGCAUUUGUGACUGCAUCGCUGGAGUGCGGCAGAGGGGGAUGGAAUUCCGCGUGUAGCAGUGAAAUGCGUAGAUAUGCGGAGGAACACCGAUGGCGAAGGCAAUCCCCUGGGCCUGCACUGACGCUCAUGCACGAAAAGCGUGGGGAGCAAACAGG